UUAACGUUUGUAUUUGCAUGGAGUUGAAACGUUUGCCUACGUUUGCCGCUAGGGGCGCUGUUCCAACUGCAUACAAAUUUGAGUUA
rfam:Bombyx mori DNA, contig: Bm_scaf44_contig24481, strain: p50T/Dazao, build 2, whole genome shotgun sequence.